rnacentral:rRNA from 1 species
GACGAACCGUGCGAACGUUGUUCGGAAUCACUGGGCUUAAAGGGCGCGUAGGCGGGCUUGCAAGUCAGGGGUGAAAUCCCACGGCUCAACCGUGGAAGUGCCUUUGAUACUGUGAGUCUCGAGGGAGGUAGGGGCGUGCGGAACUUCCGGUGGAGCGGUGAAAUGCGUAGAUAUCGGAAGGAACACCGGUGGCGAAAGCGGCGCGCUGGACCUCUACUGACGCUGAGGCGCGAAAGCCAGGGGAGCAAACGGGAUUAGAAACCCCAGUAGUCC